rnacentral:rRNA from 1 species
UACGAGGGGGGCGAGCGUUGUUCGGAAUUAUUGGGCGUAAAGGGUGCGUAGGCGGUUUGGUAAGUCUUAUGUGAAAUCUACAGGCUCAACUUGUAGUCUGCAUGAGAAACUGCCGGGCUUGAGUAUGGGAGAGGUGAGUGGAAUUUCUGGUGUAGCGGUGAAAUGCGUAGAUAUCAGGAGGAACACCGGUGGUGUAAACGGCUUUCUGGACCAUAACUGACGCUGAGGCACGAAAGCGUGGGUAGCAAACAGG